UGCCAGCCGCCGCGGUAAUACAGAGAUGGCAACCGUUGUUCGGAAUCACUGGGCUUAAAGCGCACGCAGGCGGGAAAGUAAGUUAGGUGUGAAAGCCUCUGGCUCACCCAGAGAACGGCAUCUAAAACUGCUUUUCUUGAGUGCGGGAGGGGAGAGUGGAACUCCUGGUGGAGCGGUGAAAUGCGUUGAUAUUAGGAGGAACGCCGGUGGCGAAAGCGGCUCUCUGGUCCGCGACUGACGCUGAGGUGCGAAAGCUAGGGGAGCAAACGGGAUUAGAUA
rnacentral:rRNA from 1 species